rnacentral:rRNA from 1 species
ACGGAUAACAUACCGAAAGGUAUGCUAAUACGGGAUAAUAUAUUUGAGAGGCAUCUCUUAAAUAUCAAAGGUGAGCCAGUACAGGAUGGACCCGCGUCUGAUUAGCUAGUUGGUAAGGUAACGGCUUACCAAGGCGACGAUCAGUAGCCGACCUGAGAGGGUGAUCGGCCACAUUGGAACUGAGACACGGUCCAAACUCCUACGGGAGGCAGCAGUGGGGAAUAUUGCACAAUGGGCGAAAGCCUGAUGCAGCAACGCCGCGUGAGUGAUGAAGGCCUUCGGGUCGUAAAACUCUGUCCUCAAGGAAGAUAAUGACGGUACUUGAGGAGGAAGCCCCGGCUAACUACGUGCCAGCAGCCGCAGUAAUACGUAGGGGGCUAGCGUUAUCCGGAUUUACUGGGCGUAAAGGGUGCGUAGGCGGUCUUUCAAGUCAGGAGUGAAAGGCUACGGCUCAACCGUAGUAAGCUCUUGAAACUGGGAGACUUGAGUGCAGGAGAGGAGAGUGGAAUUCCUAGUGUAGCGGUGAAAUGCGUAGAUAUUAGGAGGAACACCAGUUGCGAAGGCGGCUCUCUGGACUGUAACUGACGCUGAGGCACGAAAGCGUGGGGAGCAAACAGGAUUAGAUACCCUGGUAGUCCACGCUGUAAACGAUGAGUACUAGGUGUCGGGGGUUACCCCCCUCGGUGCCGCAG